ACCGGGCUGUUAAAAGAAUCAAUUCGAUGUUUAAAUUUUUAAAAACAAAACUUUAAAGAAGCCAAGAUGAGACGUUAUUUGCUUAAAACAAACAAAACAACAGUAACUCGUGUGUUUGAAAUGUUAGCAGCUAGCAAGUGUCUCUCUGCUAUUUUAAAUGGCACAGACGAUCUUUUGUUGUUUUAAAAGCUCAUUCAGUUCUGGUAGAUGCUGCUUAUUUUUCAAGACUGUUUUAAUAGCUUUAUAUUGAUUUGUAACAAAGCCAGCUUCACUUUGAGAGAACCUAGAUGCUUAUUGUAAAGAAGCUUGGAGUCAUAAUAUAUUUAAACGUUAUAUGUUUGCUGUUCUUCAUCUUUUUAAAUAUGAAGUCUAUUCAUGUUUGUGUUUACAGAGGUCAUGUACACUGUGGUCAACUUUGUGGACGAUGAAGAGGUUUCUGGGUAAAGAUGAUAGAAAUAUAAUGAAGUAACAGUGAAAGCUAAAACAUCAGACUGAUCCAGACACUGAAGAAAUUGAUGUCACUGCAAUCUGGCCAAAAUGAUACAACAAUAUUGAAGUAGCCUACUGUAAUGAAGCUGCAGAACAACACAGAGACUCUUGAGGACAUCAACACAGAAAAUGAAGGCUCCAAAGAGAUGUCUGUCCAGAUGAGGGUGCAUCAAUGUUACGUUUGCUGACAAGUAUAUGCUUUACAAUGUAAAACCUAACAGUUAACUUAACUCAAACCAUUUA